rnacentral:rRNA from 1 species
GUGCCGGCCGCCGCGGUAAUACCGGCAGCCCGAGUGAUGGCCGAUAUUAUUGGGCCUAAAGCGUCCGUAGCUGGCCAGACAAGUCUGUUGGGAAAUCCACGUGCUCAACGCGUGGGCGUCCAGCGGAAACUGUCUGGCUUGGGGCCGGAGGACUCGAGGGGUACGUCCGGGGUAGGAGUGAAAUCUUGUAAUCCUGGACGGACCGCCGGUGGCGAAAGCGCCUCGAGAGGACGGACCCGACAGUGAGGGACGAAAGCCAGGGUCUCGAACCGGAUUAGAAACCCCGGUAGUCC